GAGGGUAGAGCUCAGUGGUAGAGUGCCUGCUUAACAUGCACGAGGUCCUGGGUUCAGUCCCCAGUACCUCCA
rnacentral:tRNA from 1 species